rnacentral:lncRNA from 1 species
AGAUCCCUCGGUCGCCUGGUUCCCGGGGGACCCUCCCCAUCGAAAGCUCUAGAGCCGCCAGGCCCCCCGGGACCCCGCGUCUUCGCAUCGUCUCCCGCCAGCCUCGCGCCCCGCCGCAGGCGCCCAAGCGGACUCACCCGGCAGGAUCCGAGUCCUAGGCGCGGCACAGUGGCGGCGGUGAGUCCAGAGAGACGGGCAAUGGAGACCCGCUGAAGGCCUGAUGGACCGAGACGACAGCGACACGGCUCCUCCUGGCACCGGAAAAGGAAGCGGGGAGGCCGACCUGGCCGCCCGUUAUUUCCGCCCGCCCCGCCCAGCUUGCACUGCGCCUCCAGCCGGCCGCCCACGAAACUGCAGGCAGGGCCGCGUGGCUCCGGGAGCCUGGGCUGUUUCCCUCUGGGUGGAGCGCGGGAAGGUUUCCCUGCUUCCUGAGUCCAAAAGACCCAAAGGAAACCCCCUGGCCGGUGAUGCUCACCGCAACCCAGGGACUGAAAGCGGAGUUUGGAUUCUCUGUGUUUAGAGGUUUUUGUAGACAGGCUCCAAGCUGGCUGUCAGUAGUCCUGUUAAAAUCGAGGGUAAAGAGAUGAGGGAAAAGGGAAGUCUUUCUAAAGGUCUUGCGAAUGAAAACUUUUAAAAGCAUAUGUCUGCAGAGACUGAGUUGUAUAAGUUGGAAUUUCAGUACUGUGGAAAGAUUGGAAUGUUGCAGGUCCAGGGGCUAAUUACCUUAUCUUGGGCUAGUGCUAGCCCUCCAGAAUAGCCACCUCUGUGUCAAAACUAAUAUCUUGUGGCAAUAAGAUUAAAAACCUUUUAGGUCUAUUAACAGGCAACUAGCCUCUGCCAAUCCAAAAGCUAAGAAUGUCAUCGGAUAAUGUCUUAGAUGUAUAGAAAAGCUUCCUCUAUCUUGAUGUACCCUCCAAUGUAUCCAUCCACCAGUGUGUUUUAAACUUUGCCUUGAUUUAUAGCGUUCUCUGUUCUGUAAAACUAAAAACCUCGUGAUACUGGUUCCAUGUUGGGACAUGGAAUUUGAGGUAACCU